rnacentral:lncRNA from 1 species
UGAUAAACCUCACCUUCCCCCCAUGAUCCAAUCUCCUUCCAAAGCCCCACCUAGGACUGCAUGCGAGUCAAGACAUAAAACACAGUACUGGGGUGGGGCCUGGCCGAGCCUUCCAGGGUGAUGCUGACACAAUGGCUGAGAAAUAGGGCCAUGAAGCUACAGCCUUUUCCUCCACAUAUUGCCAAGGCCUUGCUAGGAAUGUGGAAGCCAAAUCAAGAUAUGUUAGAGGCCACUUUGGGAAUAAUGUUGGACGUUGACAGGAGGUGGCGGAUGCCUAGAACCCCGACUUAUUCCACAGUGAGACUCACAUGCACAGAUUAGGAGAGGUCAAAAUAAUACGGCCCCCGGGUUCUGAGAUGUGCAAACUGGCUGCAAAAGCUGGGGAAGAUCCUGUUCAAGGUACAAAGUUGUAAGAGAUGGAGCCAAGACCACCUCGUCCCUUGGCCCUUUCCAGCAAACCCUACUAGGUCCUCAUCAUCCAGAAUUUUUCUGAGCUUGGUUUCCCUUUCUAAGUUAAACCAAUACACCAGUCACCAAAUCAAAUGCUGCUGAACCUGUUUCCUGCCCCCUCUUCCCAGAGACAACAACAAUCUGUCCUCUAGUUGCUUUUGUAAAUUUCUCUGAAAUCUUGAAAGAGGAAACAAGUCAGAGUUUUCACCACAGGUUAUCUAAUCUCCACUAAGACGGGGUUAUCUCUCCUAUACCUCCAAUCUCCUCCUCUCCCGUCCCUCGCGUGGGUAAACCACUGUUUUUAAUUACAUCAUUAGCAGUGGGUCUGUCAUGUAACCAGGUAGAUGUUGCUUUCUACAGAGCCAAGUAUUGUGAUAUAGUUGCAUUUUAUUUCUUAUACAUCUUUCCUUCCUUUUAGGGUAAUUUCCUUGUUCUUUUUAUUUGCAAAAUU